rnacentral:tRNA from 3 species
AAUCCGUCGACUUUAUAAGUCGUGAGGGUUCAAGUC